rnacentral:rRNA from 1 species
UACGUAGGGGCCUAGCGUUGUCCGGAUUUAUUGGGCGUAAAGAGCUCGUAGGCGGUUUGGUGAGUCGGUGUGAAUACUCCACGCUCAACGUGGAGGGGCCACCCGAUACUGCCAUGACUAGAGUCCGGUAGGGGAGUGUGGAAUUCCCGGUGUAGCGGUGAAAUGCGCAGAUAUCAGGAGGAACACCGGUGGCGAAGGCGGGUCUCUGGGCCGAUACUGACGCUGAGGAGCGAAAGCGUGGGGAGCGAACAGGA